rnacentral:rRNA from 1 species
CCGGACCUGACUGCUAUCGGAUUGGUACUAAGCCAUGCGAGUCAUUGUAGCAAUACAAGGCGGACGGCUCAGUAACACGUAGUCAACUUAACUCGUGGACGUGGAUAACCUCGGGAAACUGAGAAUAAACCACGAUAGAUCAUAGUGCCUGGAAUGGCUUAUGGUCCAAACAGUUUACUGCCAUGGGAUGGGACUGCGGCCUAUCAGCUUGUUGGUGAGGUAAUGGCCCACCAAGGCGAUUACAGGUACGGGCUCUGAGAGGAGAAGCCCGGAGAUGGGUACUGAGACACGGACCCAGGCCCUAUGGGGCGCAGCAGGCGAGAAACCUUAGCAAUGUGCGAAAGCACGACUGGGUCAGUCCGAGUGAUUCCUGAUAAAGGAGUCUUUUGCCUGUCCUAAAAACACAGGUGAAUAAGGGGUGGGCAAGUCUGGUGUCAGCCGCCGCGGUAAUACCAGCACCUCGAGUGGUCAGGACGUUUAUUGGGCCUAAAGCAUCCGUAGCCGGCUUUGCAAGUCUCCGGUUAAAUCCACCUGCUCAACAGAUGGGCCGCUGGAGAUACUACAGAGCUAGGGAGUGGGAGAGGCAGACGGUACUCAGUGGGUAGGGGUAAAAUCCUCUGAUCCAUUGAGGACCACCAGUGGCGAAGGCGGUCUGCCAGAACACGUUCGACGGUGAGGGAUGAAGCUGGGGGAGCAAACCGGAUUAGAUACCCGGGUAGUCCCAGCUGUAAACGAUGCAAACUCGGUGAUGCAUUGGCUUAUGGCCAAUGCAGUGCCGCAGGAAGCCGUUAAGUUUGCCGCCUGGGAAGUACGGACGCAAGUCUGAAACUUAAAGGAAUUGGCGGGGGAGCACCACAAGGGUGAAGCCUGCGGUUCA